rnacentral:rRNA from 1 species
GUAGGUGGCAAGCGUUGUCCGGAAUUAUUGGGCGUAAAGCGCGCGCAGGCGGUUCUUUAAGUCUGAUGUGAAAGCCCACGGCUCAACCGUGGAGGGUCAUUGGAAACUGAGAACUUGAGUACAGAAGAGGAAAGCGGAAUUCCACGUGUAGCGGUGAAAUGCGUAGAGAUGAGGAGGAACACCAGUGGCGAAGGCGGCCUUCUGGUCUGUAACUGACGCUGAGGCGCGAAAGCGUGGGGAGCAAACAGGGAUUAGAUACCCUGGUAGUCCACGCCGUAAACGAUGAGUGCUAAUGUUAGGGGGUUUCCGCCCCCUUAGUGCUGCAGCUAACGCAUUAAGCACUCCCGCCUGGGGAGUACGGCCGCAAGGCUG